GUCGAUUCUCACGGUGGAAGCAUGUCCUCACCACCUAAAGCUGCAAGAGCGCUCCGUCUGCGGGAAACACGUGCAGGAACGCCAAACAACGAUCUAUGUAACCGGGUCGCGGAAGCAGACAGGCCCUCUGACGUCAGCGGGGGUCCCGUCUCCGCCUCCCAGACACGAGGUUUCCUUCCUGUUCACAGGGGGGCUCCUGACGGACGAGCCAUUGCUAUUGGAACGAUAGGUCCCUCCAAAUGACACCGAAGAAGGACUCACACCCUUACUCUCUCUCCCCCAUUUCCUACAACCGAUCCCCUCCACCUCUUUUUGCGGGAACGACCUCAAUUAAGACGCGCGUGUCAAGUCGUUGAGCGCAACCCCCCUUCCGGACCCCUGUCCUGCCCUGCUCGGCUCACAGUUCGGGACUGACGGUUUUCCCGGAGGUUCCUUAUUGUCGGGUCACGUUGGACCCCUUUGCAGCUGCAGACCGGGCUUCCCCCGCACAAACCCGCAGCAGGGGCUUAGCGGAGGGACAGCGCACGGGGCGGGGCUCCCAAAAACGUCCCAGGUCCCGAAGGGCGAUUAGUGGAGGGAGAUUUCUCAUUCCACAUUUAUCACAUGCUGAAACACGAGGGUAAAGGGGUCAACAGAAAACAGACCAAGGCACUAAAAUAAGUUUUCGUGCUAAAAAAAACAAAACAAUUUAAGGACAUUAAAAUAC